rnacentral:rRNA from 1 species
AGUGAACGCUGGCGGUAGGCCUAACACAUGCAAGUCGAACGGCAGCACAGUAAGAGCUUGCUCUUACGGGUGGCGAGUGGCGGACGGGUGAGGAAUACAUCGGAAUCUACUUUUUCGUGGGGGAUAACGUAGGGAAACUUACGCUAAUACCGCAUACGACCUACGGGUGAAAGCAGGGGAUCUUCGGACCUUGCGCGAUUGAAUGAGCCGAUGUCGGAUUAGCUAGUUGGCGGGGUAAAGGCCCACCAAGGCGACGAUCCGUAGCUGGUCUGAGAGGAUGAUCAGCCACACUGGAACUGAGACACGGUCCAGACUCCUACGGGAGGCAGCGGUGGGGAAUAUUGGACAAUGGGCGCAAGCCUGAUCCAGCCAUACCGCGUGGGUGAAGAAGGCCUUCGGGUUGUAAAGCCCUUUUGUUGGGAAAGAAAAGCAGCAGGUUAAUACCCCGCUGUUUUGACGGUACCCAAAGAAUAAGCACCGGCUAACUUCGUG